CUUCACCUCCCGGGAGGCCGAGGCUGGUCGCCGGAAUUACCUCGCAGGUCGAGCAACGUCCGCCGUGAUCGACCCAGCGGUGUAAAACGGCGAGUUCCCUGGAGAAGUUACUGAGAGGGCCUCCGCGUCGGUGUGCGAGGCGGUGCGUGGAGAAAGUCGCCGUCUCCCUCUCCCCCACUGCUCACGCCUACCUUUUUUAGUGCACCGAGAAUUGGGCAGGUAAACAAGUCAACAGGGGAAGCGACCCCUUUUCUCUUCCAGGGGGCCCUCUACCGGGGGGGAGUACGCAGGAUUUCCGGGCGGCGCAGUCGGAAGCUCUCCCUCUUGCUUGCCGGCCCCCCUGAUCGGUGAGUCCAUGUGCGGUCUUGACCGAAUUGACUGUCUGCUCUUCGAUCUUUCCGCGUCCGGGGGAUCGAUCGGUGUCCCAAUCUGGGUUUCUUCUUCCCCACAGGGUGGUGGAGCUCGUGAGGAGACUGGAUCGCUCCCCGGAGUCGAUGCGGCGAACCUAGGGGUUCGACAGGGAAAGGAUCUUCGCAUGGACAAGUUUUGCUGCUUCAAGGCAUCCGGCCCCCAGGUGAGGAGGGGUGGGCAGCCCUGUCUCUCCCUGGUUCUUCUUCCCUCAACGCGCGUGUGCCGCCGCCGGUGCUGCCGUCCAUUGCCGCCCUGCUGUGCCGCCGAGCGGGAGAAUUGUCUUGAUCCGCCGAUCUCUCUUUUCUCUCCCCUUCUCUCGUCUCGGUCAGAACCCCUUCUCCUCCCUGGUGAGCCAUCGGAGUCGGGCUCUGAAUUCCAGUCGCACCCUGGGUGGGGUUUCCGUUCGGACCAGAGACCGAUCUUGCCUCCCUUGCCUCCCUUGCCUCUGCAGAAAAUUUAGCUGGUUUGCCUGUCUAAAUGCGAAUCCUGCCCACGGCCACCAGCUCCUUCGAAAUUUUAGGGCUCCGUCCAUGACUCGUUGACUUUGUUGCUGCUGUUAAUUCAAUAGUUGAUUGAUUGAUUGAUCAAAUUUUGCUCAACUUGUUAAAUUGAAGACGCUGUUCUCGAGCAGACUCUGUCCGGCACGCGUUCUAAUGUUUCAGCUGGUAUCUAUUCCCUUUUUUUCUGUAAAAUCCAUCGUCUUCAACGUUUAUCUGCUCAUCUACCUCGGAACGCAGCCUCCUCUCGCUCCGCCUGGUUUAAAAUUCGGAUGAGAAUGCUACCAUCCUGGUUUCCCCCCCCCCCCCUUUCGGUUCUUGAGCCUGCCUGGUAGAGAUGAUGGUCUCGUUUUACAGCCUUCAGCUCAGCCUUCGUGCAGCGUCGGCAAAGGGAAGAGCAGCCAGAGCAGAGUCAAGAUGAGCUUCGGGUACUGCCUUGUCAAAGGCAGGACGAGCCACCCCAUGGAGGACUUCCAUGUGUCCAAGUUCAUCAGGAUCAAGGGCA
rnacentral:lncRNA from 1 species